UAGUGGCCCGGCUGCGCGGCUCAGCCCAU
rnacentral:sRNA from 1 species